AUUGAACGCUGGCGGCAGGCCUAACACAUGCAAGUCGAACGAGUGGCGGACGGGCGAGUAAUGUCUGGGAAACUGCCUGAUGGAGGGGGAUAACUACUGGAAACGGUAGCUAAUACCGCAUACCACCAUAUGUGCCCAGAUGGGAUUAGCUAGUUGGUGGGGUAACGGCGCACCAAGGCGACGAUCCCUAGCUGGUCUGAGAGGAUGACCAGCCACACUGGAACUGAGACACGGUCCAGACUCCGACGGGAGGCAGCAGUGGGGAAUAUUUCACAAUGGGCGCAAGCCUGAUGCAGCCAUGCCGCGUGUAUGAAGAAGGCCUUCGGGUUGUAAAGUACUUUCAGCGGGGAGGCGUUACCCGCAGAAGAAGCACCGGCUAACUCCGUGCCAGCCGCCGCGGUAAUUC
rnacentral:rRNA from 1 species